AUCCUGGCUCAGAACGAACGCUGGCGGCAGGCCUAACACAUGCAAGUCGAGCGAGAUCUUCGGAUCUAGCGGCGGACGGGUGAGUAACGCGUGGGAAUAUGCCCUUCUCUACGGAAUAGCCUCGGGAAACUGGGAGUAAUACCGUAUACGCCCUUAGGGGGAAAGAUUUAUCGGAGAAGGAUUAGCCCGCGUUGGAUUAGGUAGUUGGUGGGGUAAUGGCCUACCAAGCCGACGAUCCAUAGCUGGUUUGAGAGGAUGAUCAGCCACACUGGGACUGAGACACGGCCCAGACUCCUACGGGAGGCAGCAGUGGGGAAUCUUAGACAAUGGGGGCAACCCUGAUCUAGCCAUGCCGCGUGAGUGAUGAAGGCCUUAGGGUUGUAAAGCUCUUUCAGCUGGGAAGAUAAUG
rnacentral:rRNA from 1 species